CCACCCCCAUCCAUGGACCAGGAAAUAAAUGAGGGAAGAAGGAAGCAGUGAGGCCUUUUGAGGAUAGAAAGUAGUGCGCAUCUCUCCUCUCGUCUCUUGAAAAAGGAGGACACCCCAUUUAACUAAGGCAGCAGGGAUUGGCACGUCAGACAUGUUCUGUCUUUAAAUGAAUAUUUAUAAGCAAGCAUCAAAAACAACACACACAGAAG